rnacentral:rRNA from 1 species
AUAUUGGACAAUGGGGGCAACCCUGAUCCAGCCAUGCCGCUUGUGUGUAGAAGGUCUUCGGAUUGUAAAGCAAUUUAAGUUGGGAGGAAGUGCUUUAUGUUAAUACCCUGAAGAUUUGACGUGACCAACAGAAUAAGAACCUGCCAACUAUGUUCCAGCAGCCGCGGUAAUACAGAUGGUGCAAGCGUUAAGCGGAAUUACUGGGGGUAAAGCGCGCGUAGGUGGUUCAGUAAGAUGGGUGUGAAAUCCCCGGGCUUAACCUGGGAACUGCUUUCAUGACUGCUGAGCUAGAGUACGGUAGAGGGUAGUAGAACUUCCUGUGUAGCGGUGAAAUGCGUAGAUAUAGGAAGGAACACCAGUGGCGAAGGCGACUACCUGGACUGAUACUGACACUGAGGUGCGAAAGCGUGGGGAGCAAAC